CUACGGGCCGCAGCAGUGGGGAAUAUUGCACAAUGGGCGCAAGCCUGAUGCAGCCAUGCCGCGUGUAUGAAGAAGGCCUUCGGGUUGUAAAGUACUUUCAGCGGGGAGGAAGGGAGUAAAGUUAAUACCUUUGCUCAUUGACGUUAUCCGCAGAAGAAGCACCGGCUAACUCCGUGCCAGCAGCCGCGGUAAUACGGAGGGUGCAAGCGUUAAUCGGAAUUACUGGGCGUAAAGCGCACGCAGGCGGUUUGUUAAGUCAGAUGUGAAAUCCCCGGGCUCAACCUGGGAACUGCAUCUGAUACUGGCAAGCUUGAGUCUCGUAGAGGGGGGUAGAAUUCCAGGUGUAGCGGUGAAAUGCGUAGAGAUCUGGAGGAAUACCGGUGGCGAAGGCGGCCCCCUGGACGAAGACUGACGCUCAGGUGCGAAAGUGUGGGGAGCAAACAGGAUUAGAUACCCUUGUAGUC
rnacentral:rRNA from 1 species